AGUGAACGCUGGCGGUAGGCCUAACACAUGCAAGUCGAACGGCAGCACAGUAAGAGCUUGCUCUUACGGGUGGCGAGUGGCGGACGGGUGAGGAAUACAUCGGAAUCUACUUUUUCGUGGGGGAUAACGUAGGGAAACUUACGCUAAUACCGCAUACGACCUACGGGUGAAAGCAGGGGAUCUUCGGACCUUGCGCGAUUGAAUGAGCCGAUGUCGGAUUAGCUAGUCGGCGGGGUAAAGGCCCACCAAGGCGACGAUCCGUAGCUGGUCUGAGAGGAUGAUCAGCCACACUGGAACUGAGACACGGUCCAGACUCCUACGGGAGGCAGCAGUGGGGAAUAUUGGACAAAGGGCGCAAGCCUGAUCCAGCCAUACCGCGUGGGUGAAGAAGGCCUUCGGGUUGUAAAGCCCUUUUGUUGGGAAAGAAAAGCAGCAGGUUAAUACCCCGCUGUUCUGACGGUACCCAAAGAAUAAGCACCGGCUAACUUCGUG
rnacentral:rRNA from 1 species